GUGGGUAUAGCUCAGUGGUAGAGUGUGUGCUUAGCAUGCACGAGGUCCUGAGCUCAACCCCCAGUACCUCCG
rfam:Camelus ferus unplaced genomic scaffold scaffold195, whole genome shotgun sequence.